GGUAAUUGUACCUUCUGGGCCUGGAUGCUGGGAGUCUUGGAGGAGCCUAAGCUCAAGAUCAUGGCAAGUGCUAAUCUUCUUAUACUUAAGGGGCUGGAUUUCAUUGUCUUCAUGAUGAAGGCAUCAGCUGAGUUCAGUGAAACGAGGCCAUAGCCAACAGGUAAAAAGACAACACACUGAGCCCCAGAGCUGCUUAAGACAGAGACUCAGGAUUUAAGCUUGUGCCGGUCCACUUGGGAGCCCUAGAUGAGUAUUUAAUUCUCAGACUGUGAAUGUGAGCCAGAAGAAGAAGCCAUUCUCACAUAGACAUGGACCACUAAUGGGCAUAUCUAUAUUGGGAUGUUUUGUAUCGGACUACCAAAGUAUACGGACUUGGUGCUUUCUUUUUCUUCGUUUCCCUUUUUGUUUUUCUUUAUCUUGUUUUCUUAUGUAGGCAAUGCAGACCAAGG